rnacentral:rRNA from 1 species
ACGGAAGGCAGCAGUGGGGAAUAUUGGGCAAUGGGCGAAAGCCUGACCCAGCAACGCCGCGUGAAGGAUGACGGUCUUCGGAUUGUAAACUUCUUUAAUUGGGGAAGAAUGAAUGACCUACCCAAAGAAUGAGUCACGGCUAACUACGUGCCAGCAGCCGCGGUAAUACGAAGGGGACAAGCGUUAUCCGGAUUUACUGGGCGUAAAGGGCGUGUAGGCGGUUUGGCAAGUCAGAAGUGAAAUUCCUGAGCUCAACUCGGGCGCUGCUUCUGAAACUGCUAGACUUGAGUGCUGGAGGGGAUAGCGGAAUUCCUAGUGGAGCGGUAAAAUGCGCAGAUAUUAGGAAGAACACCGGCGGCGAAGGCGGCUAUCUGGACAGUAACUGACGCUGAGGCGCGAAAGCGUGGGGAGCAAACAGGAUUAGAUACCCUGGUA